GUUUCUGUAGUGUAGUGGUUAUCACAUUUGCUUCACACGUGAAAGGUCCCCAGUUCGAAACUGGCCGGAAACA